rnacentral:rRNA from 1 species
AUUGAACGCUUGCGGCAGGCCUAACACAUGCAAGUCGCGCGAGCGGCGGACGGGUGAGUAAUGUCUGGGAAACUGCCUGCUGGUGGGGGAUAACUACUGGAAACGGUCGCUAAUACCGCAUACCAUCAGAUGUGCCCAGAUGGGCUUAGGUAGUAGGUGGGGUAACGGGUCACCUAGGCGACGAACCCUAGCUGGUCUGUGAGGGUGACCAGCCAAACUGGAACUGUGGCACGGGCCAGGCUCCUGCGGGGGGCCGCAGUUGGGAAAAUUGCGCAAUGGGCGCAAGCCUGAUGCAACCAUGCCGCGGGUGUGAAGAAGGCCUUCGGGUUGUAAAGCACUUUAAGCGAGGAGGCGUUACUCGCAGAAUAAGCACCGGCUAACUCUGUGCCAGCAGCCGCGGUAAUUC